UGCUGCCAAAACUUUGUGGUGUAGGCUUGGUCAACGCAUAUUUGAUUCACAGGCUGAUCACAAAGAAAAUAACAGGAUUAGGAAGAAGGCUGCUUCUUCAGCACUUGCCAGUAUUGCUUUAACUGAAGUUGGUGGAAAUCCUGCUGGAAUAAAUUGGGAUUAGAGCCGUAAUCAUCCAUUGACCCACAACCCAACUUUUUCUAUGGAAGCAGCGAGCAAAAUUCAUCCCUGGUAGAGCUCCAUGAGACAACUGGAUUAUUCUCAGCUCUCCCUGAAGCAAACACAGAUCUAAUUACAGAGAACUGCAGCAGAAAAGGAAUGAAACAAAAAAUGAAGCAGUUCAUCUGUAAAGCAGUGGUGUCUGCCCUUGAAAGCUUUGAAAAACCUUUUCAUUGGGAUAUAAAACACUGUAUGUUCUUGUAAUCAUACUUCUUAAGAAAACAAUUACAACACAUUUGACAUUUAUUUGUAGGCCUGAUUCAAUAGGUUACCAACAUCCCAUUCCAUUGUUUCCUGUCUAUUCACCCCCUAGCUAAAUGCCCUUAUUACAUAGGGUGACACCAAAACUGAUGAAAUGUAGAUCCAGGAUCUCUCCACAAUCACAAUGAAAGCAUAAAUCCCCAGCUGAGGCUCAAGUUCACAGCACAGCAAUAAGGUCAAGCAUUAUGGAAG
rnacentral:lncRNA from 1 species